rnacentral:rRNA from 1 species
GACGAACGCUGGCGGCGUGCCUAAUACAUGCAAGUCGAGCGGAACUGGGGGAGCUUGCUCCUUCCAGUUUAGCGGCGGACGGGUGAGUAACACGUGGGCAACCUGCCCUGCAGAUCGGGAUAACUCCGGGAAACCGGUGCUAAUACCGAAUAGUUUGGCGCCUCUCCUGAGGCGCUACGGAAAGACGGUUUCGGCUGUCACUGCAGGAUGGGCCCGCGGCGCAGUAGCUAGUUGGUGGGGUAACGGCCCACCAAGGCGACGAUGCGUAGCCGAACUGAGAGGGUGACCGGCCACACUGGGACUGAGACACGGCCCAGACUCCUACGGGAGGCAGCAGUAGGGAAUCUUCCGCAAUGGACGCAAGUCUGACGGAGCAACGCCGCGUGAGUGACGAAGGUUUUCGGAUCGUAAAACUCUGUUGUGAGGGAAGAACACGUACCAACUAACUAUUGGUACCUUGACGGUACCUCACCAGAAAGCCACGGCUAACUACGUGCCAGCCGCCGCGGUAA